rnacentral:lncRNA from 1 species
CACACGCACCCCGGAACCUUCUCCGGCCGCGCGCCCAGGCCUCCUCCCAGCCAGUGGCCCACCCCGUGAGCCUCCAGGCUCACCUUCCCAGGGUCACCUGGGCGAUUUGUCCAGGGUCACAAAGCGAGCGAUGGCAGCGACCAGUGGGGAAUGCCAGCCUGUCGUCCAGCCUGCACGCCACCGCCCAUUGGUGGAUUACGGGGAGAGUCUAAACAAAGUGAAAACAGGAGUUCCCGUCGUGGCACAGCAGAAAGGAACCUGACUAGGAUCCAUGAGGACACGGGUUCAAUCUCUGGCCUCGCUCCAGGGGUUAAGGAUCCGGUGUUGCUGUGGCUGUGGUGUAGGCCGGCAGCUGCAGCUCCGAUUCAACCCCUAGCCUGGGAACUUCUCUAUGCCGCGGGUUUGGCCCUAAAAAACCAAACAGACAAAAAACAAACAAACAAAAAAAGAAGUGAAAACAAAAAGUAUUACUCAGCAAGUGGUACCUACAAACACAUCAGAGCUGGUCUGUAAAGAAGCCACCACAGCUCAGCUCCACGGUAUCACCAAACUCGGCUCAGCGCCCUCAAGUCACAGGCACACGCCGACCCCCCCAUGUCACCCCAGGCCUCUGAAGUUGAUCUCCAGCCACGGCUGAAAUGGAAGCCACGACGUGCUCCUUCAUCUCUCGAGACUUUGAGGAGUUCCCGCUCUGGCGCAGUGGGGUAAGAAUCCAGCUGCGGUCGCUGUGGAGGUGCAGUUCCAUCCCUGGCCCGGCACAGUGGGUUAAAGGGUCCAGGGUUGCUGCAGCUGCAGCACAGGUCACAGCUGCAGCUCAGAUUUGAUCCCUGGCCUGGGAACUUCUACCUGCUAUGCAUGUGGCCAUGAAUAAAAAAGACAAAAAAAAAAAAAAAGACUUUGAGGAGGGGUGGCACAAAUCUAAAGUUCUCGGUGCACCUCCAUGAAGAGCCGUUUGGGGGGUAUCUGGGUACUCGAGAGGCCACUUGUGGGCCAUGUCCCCCAAAAGACGUGCUCAAGUCCAAACUCCGGGUAGCUGGGAAGCUGACCUUCUUUGGAGAAAGGGCCUCUGCAGAUCAAAUCACGAUGAGGUCCUGCGGGCUCGGCGUGGGCCCUGCCCCUGGUGACCAC